rnacentral:rRNA from 1 species
GACGAGCCUCACAAACGUUAUUCGGAAUCAUUGGGCGUAAAGCGCACGUAGGCGGUCUGUUAUGUCGGAUGUGAAAGCCCUUGGCUUAACUGAGGAAGUGCAUCCGAAACUGGCAGGCUAGAGUUCGGUAGGGGAGACUGGGAAUUCCUGGUGUAGCGGUGAAAGUGACGCAGAUAUCAGGAGGAACACCGAUGGCGAAGGCAGUUCUCUGGGCCGUAACUGACGCUGAGGAGCGAAAGCGUGGGGAGCGAACAGG